AUUGAACGCUGGCGGCAGGCUUAACACAUGCAAGUCGAGCGGAGAUGAGGUGCUUGCACCUUAUCUUAGCGGCGGACGGGUGAGUAAUGCUUAGGAAUCUGCCUAUUAGUGGGGGACAACAUUCCGAAAGGAAUGCUAAUACCGCAUACGCCCUAAGGAGGAAAGCAGGGGAUCUUCGGACCUUGCGCUAAUAGAUGAGCCUAAGUCGGAUUAGCUAGUUGGUGGGGUAAAGGCCUACCAAGGCGACGAUCUGUAGCGGGUCUGAGAGGAUGAUCCGCCACACUGGGACUGAGACACGGCCCAGACUCCUACGGGAGGCAGCAGUGGGGAAUAUUGGACAAUGGGGGGAACCCUGAUCCAGCCAUGCCGCGUGUGUGAAGAAGGCCUUUCGGUUGUAAAGCACUUUAAGCGAGGAGGAGGCUCUCUUAGUUAAUACCUAGGAAGAGUGGACGUUACUCGCAGAAUAAGCACCGGCUAACUCUGUGCCAGCAGCCGCAGUAAGAC
rnacentral:rRNA from 1 species